GCUAAGAGUAGUGGUAUGUGCCUGUAAUCUCCUGCUCUGGGGAGGUUGACACCAAUGGCAUUCGAGUUCAGGAUUUCUGAACUGCAGUAGCACUAAAGCUGACUGGGUACCUACACUAAGUCUAGCACAAAGAUGGUGAGCCCCUGGGAGCAGUGAGCUACCAGGAUGCCAAAGGAGGAGCUAGUUGGCUCAGGUGAGAAAUGGAGCAGGUCAAAGCUUCUGUGCAAUGGCGAUGGAGCCCAUGAGUGGCCACUGCACUCCCAGCCUGGGAAAGACAAGGAGACCAAGUCUCAA
rnacentral:SRP_RNA from 1 species